rnacentral:rRNA from 1 species
GACGUAGGGCGCGAACGUUGUCCGGAUUUAUUGGGCGUAAAGAGCUCGUAGGCGGCUUGUUACGUCGUUCGUGAAAACCCGAGGCUCAACCUCGGGCUUGCGGUCGAUACGGGCAGGCUAGAGUUCGGUAGGGGAGACUGGAAUUCCUGGUGUAGCGGUGAAAUGCGCAGAUAUCAGGAGGAACACCGGUGGCGAAGGCGGGUCUCUGGGCCGAUACUGACGCUGAGGAGCGAAAGCGUGGGGAGCGAACAGG